rnacentral:lncRNA from 1 species
AGCCAGGAGGGGCGGGGCAGAACGCUCGCUUUGGCUGCGGGAGUGAGUGUGAGUGUGAGAGCAAGAACAGCCCGCAGGUCCCGAGGCGCUUGCAGGGGACUCUGCCGCGGAAAGUUCCCAGUCCCCAGCCGCAGAAGCUUUUUAUUUUUGGUUGAUUCCUGCUGUCUACUCCUCUUGGAUGCCUUUGUGAAACUGCUUCUAUCUGAGAAGGAGGAGUUGCCAUUUAGCAAGUAGUAGGUGGUACCGUGUGUGGCAGAGUCCGAUGUGUUACACCACGAGGACAUUCAUCUUUGCAAUUGGUGAAGUCCUUCUACCUAGUUCCCCUUCCUUGUGCACAGAAGAGGACUGGAAAACUCCUCACAGGACUGCAUACUGCUAUCUCUGAGAAACCAGAAAGAAGAAAGUACCUCUUCCUUCCAAGCUUCUACCUAAGAGUAUACUGGAAGGUUUACCUAGAGCAACAAGACAACGAAAUGGAUUGUCCUUCUCACGCUAGUCCACACACAAUCCUCAUCAUUUUGAUAAGAUAGCAUGAAGUCUCUUAUCGCUUGUGGAUCCAGCACUUUGGUUCAGCAAGUUGGAGAGGAAAGAGUUUAUUCAGCUUGCACUUUCAUACUGCUGUUCAUCACCAAGGAAGUCAGGACUGGAACUCAAGCAGGUUCAUCUGCCCAUAAUUCUCUAAGAUUUGGAGCUGUUGAGGAGUGGCUCAUAGUAGACACUGAACCAUCAGCCAACAGCAUUUGUUGUCCUGGAUGUCUGUGCCAACCUUUCGAGUCACACUGGGGUCUAAAGACACACCUGGAAUAAAAAUCAGAAUGCUUAAGAAACUUAAUAUGAUCUGCGGGAGAAUACAUGAGGUUUUUGUUUCAUACCACAGUCUGAUGACAGCAUGGAUUUCAACUGAUGAUGUUCACCUUUGCCUCUUGGGUCAAUAUGUGAGCUCAGAGAUUUCCCUGCUUUUGUUCUGUCAUUAUGGAUUCUAAACUUCUGAAACUACAUACUCAAUUAAAUGUUUUCUUUUAUAAAUUAUA